GUGCUGCCUGUCAGGUGAACAGCACAGCAGAUUCUCUGCCUGUAGGAGAAGAAGAUUCUAGCAGGUGAACAGGGUGUAGCUGAGGACUCUGGAACAUGUUCCUAGGUCUGGUUCAGGCCUGUGUUUGGGCCCCAUCAGAUGGACACAGCAGGAGCAGAAGGGAGAAGGAAGGGUCUUCAGGAGCCUAUGAUCAACCCACUUGAUGGAAGAGGAGGCUGAGUGACAGCUCAUCCUAUUGCACCUUCCUAGUGCCCAUCAAGUAUGUUCACCAGGACCAGGGGCAGAAUCAACAUGGAUUUGUGUCAAAACAAAACCAUUUCGAUGUAAAACUCAUAUGCACCCAGCCGGACUCUUCCUCCCCUGCACCCUUCUUAGCCCUUCCUCUAUUUCUUACCCAUGUCCCUCUUCAGUGCAGAGCCAGGUUCACCCCAGGGACACCUCAGGUCUAUACCUUUUACCAGUUUCAGUCACAGGUGGUGGAAAUAAAAAAGUGUUGGGAGUUCCAUGGGUAUAUCCAAGAAUAAUGAACAGAGUGUGGAAGAAUUAAAGAUAUAAAGUAGAGGUCACAUUCCACAAAACUCGCAUGGAUAUAAGAACCUGUGAGCCAAUUGUUGCUCAAAGGAAGCAAAAUAGUAUUACUAUUAGGGCCAUAGCUCUGAACGAGGAGGUAAAGGUUGCGUGGGUAGAGGUCAACUCUUGCUCAACACCUGCUGUGGCCAUCAUUGGCUGGGGAGUUCACACUGGUGGUGCGUGGUUUAUAUAGAAAGCUAUAUGAAAACUCUUUAUUUUUCUCAGAAAGAAUGUCAAAUUUCACAGAUCCUGCCAGGCACUCAGGUUGUCCUUGUCCACUUUUAGCCUCAAUGAGUCAUGAUACAUCCAGCAAGCCUCCAGGGGCCCAUUAACUCAAAGGUCAGUGAAACUCCUGUCCAAAUGGGCUUCUUCCACUAUCCUAGUCCACCCAGUGGGGUGGGAACAUGUUCCUGCCAGCUGAUCUUUCCCAGAAGAUAGACUUAGGGGUGACUCCAGAGAGAAUGGUCACUCAGGAGGGACAAUGCACACAAGAUAGAAAUGAUGUUGACCAAGAAGCAAAGCUGAGCUGGGAGCAUGAGCAGACAUACAGGAGCCCAAGGCCAUGUCUGUGACAUACACAGAGAUGGUCAGUACAGAAUCACAGGAGAGGAGGCCCCAUGAGGACUUGGCAUCCUGCUACUUUUGCCAUCCCUGAACUUAGCAAAUACCCACAGGAGAAACCCAGACUGCUGUUGAGGACUCAGCCAUAUCAGUCCACCUCACAGCUCAAGGCAACUCCCAAAGCUCAGUCAGGUCCUCUUCACUAGGGCAGCCCCUCUGCCAGGACCAUGCCAUAGUCCUGGGGUCAGUCACAUUCAAUAUAUUAAAGCAGGAUCAAAAAAUAAUAGUUGAAAGGCCUAAACUGUCUCAGGAUUUGUAGGUCUUAAUUUUGUUUCUUUCAUGGCUUCUGGUUGUUGUGACAAGUUUGAUUGUAAAGUGAUUAUUUUAUGGUUAUUUUCUUCUGUACUUAGUUCAGUGAUUUUGAUGGUCUGCUGAGGCCUGCUACAUCCUAAGUGAAAGUGGAAGUUCAUUUUUUAAACUGAAUAUAAUAUAUGAAUUCCAAAUUUGCUACUGAGUUUUAAACUUCUAGAUGUAGAUAUAUCUAGACACAUCUAGAUACUACACAGACACAGAUGGUUAAAAUAAUGAAAACCCUAAGGAAAUGAUGAUGGUCAAAGCCAAGCUCACCAUGACCAACAGUGGGUGACCCCAAAUUCCAGGCUAAGGGCAGGGCCUUUAUGCUUGUAACUCAAAUGUUUUAAAUGGUUAUCUACUAACUAUAGUGAUCCAGGAACAAGAUUCUUAUUAUAGACUGAUAGAAAUAAAAAGGUUUGUAUUAAACAAAUAAAUUAUCCUAAUUUCACUUACAAAAACAUACUGUGUUUGUGAAGGUUUCCACUUCCAACCAAAUAUAUCCCAUGAUGAAUACAAUAAAAACUAAAAUAUAUAAUUUUUUAGUGUAUCUUAAAGAAAAC
rnacentral:lncRNA from 1 species